ensembl:lincRNA Gm20052 predicted gene, 20052
GGUACAGGGAUGGAGAGGAACUCCAGGCAUCUGCACCAGGGGUCACCAAGGACUGAGAUGAUUCAGAAUGUGGAAGCUCACUGCCUCCCUUGGCUUCUUCGCCGCCCCUCCCCCUCUCUAGGCCUGCUUCCAGUCUGUAGUUCACCUGCUUCCAAAACCUCGACCUUCAUCACGAACACAGAUCCAAGCUGAGGUACUCAAAAGUCACACCUGAGACCCCAAGACAGGUGGAAGGACGUUGGACCCCAGGACCUAGGACUGUGCAAUCAAUGCUCCCACCCCACAGCAGACCCUCACUCCCAGUCCUUUGGCUCCCAGGACCCAUUUUCUUCUCCAGGAAGCUCAUGGCCUCUAUCUUGCCAGGUCUCCUGGAGUUUCCCAGCUGGACAGGAAGUUCAGAUGAGAGGGGACCAAAAGCCUUUACAUACAACCAGCAUUGCAGAAGCCUCUGGAAUCUUCUCCUGCCAUGUUCUUAGCCAUCAGAAGCAGCUAGGGCAUUUGUGAGCUGGGUUGAGGCUGGGACAACAGGGGACCUGGGGACUGUUAAGAAGCAAGAACAUGUCUGCUUCUUUUAUGACCUUCAAUAUUAGCCACCAGGAAGUUGCCCCAUGAAGCCCACGACCUCGUAUCACUAACUCGGCUUGAAUUGAUUAAGGAGACUGGGAUGA